GAUCAAGCACCUAAGGGUGUCUGAUGGAUGGUUCGGCUAUCAGAGGCGAUGAAGGACGUGCCAAGCUGCGAUAAGCUCGGGGGAACUGCACCGAAGUGUUGAUCCCGAGAUCUCCGAAUGGGACAACCCAUAUGAGCAAACCUCAUAUAUCCGUAAGGAAGCGAACUCAGCGAACUGAAACAUCUCAGUAACUGAAGGAAAAGAAAUCAAUUGAGAUUCCGUAAGUAGCGGCGAGCGAACGCGGAACAGCCCAAACCGGAGGGUUUACUCUCCGGGGUAUGGAGCCCAAUGUGGUACCUACAAUGCGACUUGAAUGCGUUGGGAAGCGCAACCGUAGAAGGUGACAGUCCUGUAAAGGAAGUUGCGUAGGGCCUAGGGAAUUCCUGAGUAGCGCCAGCCUCGUGAAAUCUGGCGUGAAUAUGGGGGGACCACCCUCCAAGGCUAAAUACUCCUGGUAGACCGAUAGUGGAAAGUAGCGUGAGCGAACACUGAAAAGUACCCCUGGCGGGGAGUGAAAUAGUUCCUGAAAUCAGACACUUACAAGCUGUAGCGGCCCUAUGAUUCGUUCAGGGUUGCUGCGUGCCUUUUGCAUAAUGCCCCAGCGACUUGUGGUCUAGUGCGAGCUUAAGCUGUUACGCAGCGAAGGCGGAGCGAAAGCGAGUGUGAAUAGCGCGUCGAGUACUAGGCUGCAGACCCGAAACUUGGUGAUCUAUCCAUGUGCAGGUUGAAGCGGCGGUAAAACGUCGUGGAGGACCGAACCCACUCAUGCUGCAAAAUGAGGGGAUGACAUGUGGAUUGGAGUAAAAGGCUAAUCAAACCAAGAGAUAUCUGGUUCUCUUCGAAAUAUAUAUUGGUAUAGACUCAGGUUAUAGUUAACGGGGGUAGAGCACUGAAUGGGCUAGGGGGCCUACCAGCUUACCAAACCCAAUCAAACUCCGAAUACCGUUAACCUUAUCCUGGGAUUCAGACUGCGGGGGAUAAUCUUCGUAGUCGAGAGGGAAACAACCCAGACCAACAGCUAAGGUCCCUAAAUUCAGUUCAGUGGUUAAGGAGGUCUCUGUGCUUAGACAGCCAGGAUGUUGGCUUAGAAGCAGCCAUCAUUUAAAGAGUGCGUAACAGCUCACUGGUCGAGCGCAGGGGUGCCGAAAAUGUACGGGGCUAAACUGAAUACCGAAGCUUUGGAUGCGCAAGCAUGGUAGGAGAGCGCUGUAUACAGGAUGAAGCUAUACCGUGAGGAGUAGUGGACCGUAUACAGGUGAUUAUGCUGGGAUGAGUAACGAUAAAGAAAGUGAGAAUCUUUCUCACCGUAAGCCUAAGGUUUCCUCCGGAAGGGAAUUCCGCGGAGGGUGAGGCGGCCCCUAAGUCGAGGCUGAAAAGCGUAGACGAUGGGAAGCAGGUUAAUAUUCCUGCCCCACGAUACAGGUGCCCACGAGGACGCAUAGAGCUAACCCGGUGGAGGCGUAAGUUGCCCCACGUUGGUCAGCGGCCAGGGACGUUGAAAGAUGUCCGGAAUGGUUUCUGAUCCGCCAAGAGCCUUGAGCUGUAUAGGCGGGUGAUGCUGUCGUGCCGAGAAAAGCUCGUCGGGAGAUAAUCUGUAUGGUGACCGUACUAAAACUGACACAGGUAGGCGAGGCGAGUAGCCUCAGGUGCUCGGGAGAACUCUGGUUAAGGAACUCGGCAAAUUAACCCCGUAACUUCGGGAGAAGGGGUGCCUGUCUUUGACAGGCCGCAGUGAAGAGGUCCAACCGACUGUUUACUAAAAACACAGGACUCUGCAAAUUCGAAAGAAGACGUAUAGGGUCUGAUGCCUGCCCGGUGCUGGAAGGUUAAGGUAAGGUGUGCAAGCUCCGAACCGAAGCCCCAGUAAACGGCGGCCGUAACUAUAACGGUCCUAAGGUAGCGAAAUUCCUUGUCGGGUAAGUUCCGACCUGCACGAAUGGCAUAACAACAUCCGCACUGUCUCGACCAGGGACUCAGCGAAAUUGCAUUCGGGGUGAAGAUGCCCCGUACCCGCGGCUAGACGGAAAGACCCCAUGAACCUUUACUGCAGCUUGACAGUGAAUUUCGGGAUAUUCUGCGUAGGAUAGGUGGGAGGCUUUGAAGCCGGACUUCUGGGUUCGGUGGAGCCACCCUUGAAAUACCACCCUGGAUAUUCUGGAAUUCUAACCUACAUCCAUGAUCUGGAUGAGGGACACUGUCUGGUGGGCAGUUUGACUGGGGCGGUCGCCUCCUAAAACGUAACGGAGGCGCACGAAGGUUCCCUCAGGCUGAUUGGACACCAGCCGUAGAGUGUAAACGCAUAAGGGAGCUUUACUGUGAGACCGACAGGUCGAUCAGUUGCGAAAGCAGGUGUUAGUGAUCCGGUGGUCCCGCAUGGAAGGGCCAUCGCUCAACGGAUAAAAGGUACUCUGGGGAUAACAGGCUGAUCGCGCCUGAGAGUUCAUAUCGGCGGCGCGGUUUGGCACCUCGAUGUCGGCUCAUCACAUCCUGGGGCUGGAGCAGGUCCCAAGGGUUCGGCUGUUCGCCGAUUAAAGUGGUACGCGAGCUGGGUUUAAAACGUCGUGAGACAGUUUGGUCCCUAUCUGCCGUGGGCGCAGGAUACUUGAGAGGAGCUGCCUAUAGUACGAGAGGACCUGGGUGGACGAACCUCUGGUGUUCCGGUUGUCUGGCCACAGGCAUAGCCGGGUAGCCAUGUUCGGAACGGAUAACCGCUGAAAGCAUAUAAGCGGGAAGCCUCCCUCAAGAUUAGGUAUCCCUGACGUAAGUCACUAAAGACCCCUUGUAGACUACGAGGUUGAUAGGCCGGAUGUGGAAGCGCUGUGAGGCGUGGAGCUAACCGGUACUAAUAGGUCGUGCGGCUUGACCGUAC
rnacentral:rRNA from 1 species